GUCGGGGGUCGCAGUGACCAGGUGGCUGGGACUGUUUAUUAAAAACACAGCACUCUGCAAACUCGAAAGAGGACGUAUAGGGUGUGACACCUGCCCGGUGCCGGAAGGUUAAUUGAUGGGGUUAGCGUAAGCGAAGCUCUUGAUCGAAGCCCCGGUAAACGGCGGCCGUAACUAUAACGGUCCUAAGGUAGCGAAAUUCCUUGUCGGGUAAGUUCCGACCUGCACGAAUGGUGUAACCAUGGCCACGCUGUCUCUACCCGAGACUCAGUGAAAUUGAAAUCGCAGUGAAGAUGCUGUGUACCCGCACCUAGACGGAAAGACCCCGUGAACCUUUACUACAGCUUGGCACUGAACAUUGAACCUACUUGUGUAGGAUAGGUGGGAGGCUUCGAAGCAGAGACGCUAGUUUCUGUGGAGCCGUCCUUGAAAUACCACCCUGGUAUGUUUGAUGUUCUAACGUAGGUCCCUUAUCGGGAUUGCGGACAGUGUCUGGUGGGUAGUUUGACUGGGGCGGUCUCCUCCCAAAUAGUAACGGAGGAGCACGAAGGUUAGCUAAUCACGGUCGGACAUCGUGAGGUUAGUGCAAUGGCAUAAGCUAGCUUAACUGCGAGACAGACACGUCGAGCAGGUACGAAAGUAGGUCAUAGUGAUCCGGUGGUUCUGUAUGGAAGGGCCAUCGCUCAACGGAUAAAAGGUACUCCGGGGAUAACAGGCUGAUACCGCCCAAGAGUUCAUAUCGACGGCGGUGUUUGGCACCUCGAUGUCGGCUCAUCACAUCCUGGGGCUGAAGUCGGUCCCAAGGGUAUGGCUGUUCGCCAUUUAAAGUGGUACGCGAGCUGGGUUUAGAACGUCGUGAGACAGUUCGGUCCCUAUCUGGUGUGGGCGUUGGAUGAUUGAGGGGAGCUGCUCCUAGUACGAGAGGACCGGAGUGGACGAACCGCUGGUGUUCGGGUUGUUUUGCCAAAGGCAUUGCCCGGUAGCCAAGUUCGGAAUCGAUAACCGCUGAAAGCAUCUAAGCGGGAAGCGAGCCCCAAGAUGAGUCAUCCCUGCACGUAAGUGCUGGAAGGGUUGUUAUAGACUAUGACGUUGAUAGGCAGGGUGUGGAAGCGUUGCAAGGCGUUAAGCUAACCUGUACUAAUUGCCCGAGAGGCUUAACCAUACAACGCCUAA
rnacentral:rRNA from 2 species